UACGUAGGUGGCAAGCGUUGUCCGGAAUUAUUGGGCGUAAAGCGCGCGCAGGCGGUUCCUUAAGUCUGAUGUGAAAGCCCCCGGCUCAACCGGGGAGGGUCAUUGGAAACUGGGGAACUUGAGUGCAGAAGAGGAGAGUGGAAUUCCACGUGUAGCGGUGAAAUGCGUAGAGAUGUGGAGGAACACCAGUGGCGAAGGCGGUUCUCUGGGCCUUACCUGACGCUGAGGAGCGAAAGCGUGGGAGCAAACAGG
rnacentral:rRNA from 1 species